rnacentral:rRNA from 1 species
UACAGAGGGGGCAAGCGUUGUUCGGAAUUACUGGGCGUAAAGGGCGCGUAGGCGGCCUGUUAAGUCGAACGUGAAAUCCCCGGGCUCAACCCGGGAACUGCGUCCGAUACUGGCAGGCUUGAAUUCGGGAGAGGGAUGUGGAAUUCCACGUGUAGCGGUGAAAUGCGUAGAGAUGUGGAGGAACACCGAUGGCGAAGGCAGCCUCCUGGGCCAACACUGACGCUCAUGCACGAAAGCGUGGGGAGCAAACAGG